GGCUGCUAAAUUUAAUAGUGGUGAAUAUGUGAGAAAUAGUUGAUCUUGGUAGAUAUGUGGCCAUUAUGAGAACUUUGUACAGAUCUGUUUGCGCAUCUUGAAGAUGCCCGCACAAGUAGGUGUGAAAGCCUCUGUUCAAUUAGGAACGAAUGCGCAAUUCCUCGAGUGCUGUCUGGUAAGACUGGGGGCCUUACCUGGGGCUCGAUUGACACGAAUAAACAGAAGGAUAUAGUAGAAAUAUAUCCUUUGUCUAAUUCGUUGAGAUGCUUACUGUUUAGCGGCAGUGGAGCGUCUGGGGAAGCCCUUACUAUUUUAGGUGACACUAGCUAGUCGUCAAAUAAAGGAAGAUAACAUGUUUGACAUAUAUAUAUAUUGAAAUGUGACAUUGUGUAAAUUGAUGUUGACUAAGAUGAUGCAAGGGAACGGAAGUUCCCCGGUGAGUAUAUUUAUUAUUGCCAAAAGUUGACAGAACAGUAAAUAUUGUUUUUUUUAUUAUUUUUAUGUGAUGUUCGAGUUUAUGUCUAACAAUAUAAGAAGGAUGACUGUUGAGUGAAUUUGCAUUGUAGAGACCCAUUGGCUAAGAACAACUCUGACAGAAAACUCAUAAUGAGCGCUCCUGAGGAAGAACACCCAGUAAAGCACAGAAAGACUUGAGACAGCGUAAAAACUGGAAAAGACAUACUGCUACCGAAAAGAGAUAUUCAGCUACUGCUCCGCCAAGAUUUCCUUUAUGUUCCCACAACACGCCUACAUACAAGUGCUCCUUAUUAACAAAUGCUGAUAUUGCAACUUUCCAUAAAUCUUUCUUUGCUUCUCACAAAAAAAACGAUACAAGAUUGUUUUAUUAUAAAGUACUGUACUAUUAAGCAAGUCAAAAGACAAAGAGCUUCAAAAGAUUUAAGAGCCCGAAACGCGUCUUUCCACUAUUUUAUACCAAAAAAACUUUCCAAGGAAUGUGUACCUGUAAAAAUACCUUUUUGCGGGCCCUAAAUCUAGGACAUAAUAGAGUCAUUGGUGUAUUAAGUCGAUUUUUUGAAACAGGAUAAAUGUCUUUAGAAUCCUGAGGUGGUAAUAAAGUCAAAGACAAAAAUUUAGAAAAAAAAAAGAAAUGAUCAUAAACUUUAUUAAGUCUUUCUCUGUUAUAGAAAGUCACUAUUGUCGAGGCAGAAGUGAAAGACAGUACCUGGCUAGCAACUUGAGCAUUAAAAAAAUGUGGAAUCUUUAUAAUUCAAGUUUUGAAGACCACCGGAUGAAAGAAUCUUUUUUUAGAUCCCUAUUUAAUACCAAAUUUAAUUUGGGAUUUAAGGCGCCUCAAACAGACGUCUGCUUACGCUGCUUGAAGUGUAAAUCCAAAAUUUCAAAUACGAAUGACCAACAUGAAAAACAGAACCUUAUUGUGCAGAGUAGCCUCCAUAAAUUAAAAUCUAAAGCAUUUUUCCAAUUGCUGCAAGAAGAGCGUCCAGGGUUAUUAACAAUGUCAUACGAUUGUGAAAAAAAUUUAGUGCUACCGAAGAUACCCGACCAACAAACCUAUUAUAAACGCCAAUUUUAUUUAUAUAAUUUUACUGUAGUAGUUGGCUCAUCCUAUUCGCAACUAACAAAACAGAAUGUUUUCUCUUAUGCCUGGAAAGAAACUGACAAGUCGAAAGGUUCAAACGAGAUCAGUUCCGCAGUCUUUAACAGACUUCAAAAACAAGACUUAACAGACAUAACAGAUCUGAAACUUUGUUCCGAUGGAUGCGGAGGGUAAAAUAAGAACUUAACAAUGAUCACCAUGGUAUCGGUUUGGUUUCACGGUGCUCCAGAUCACAUUCAAUCCGUAGAGUUAAUAUUCCCAGUGACGAGCCACUCAUACAUACCACCUGACCGGGUUUUCGCAAAUAUUGAGAAGAGGGUACGCAAGGAGGAGACCAUUAUUAUUCCAGAGAAGUACCAUGAAAUAUUUGAGGAAUUUGGUACCCUGCAAAUUCUGGAAACAGACUGGAAGGUUUUUGGUUGACAGGAACAAGUCAAACUUAACAUAAAAUCGACUUCGUCACUACAUUUUAAAAAAAAUUCAUGUAAACGUAUAUUAUUUACAAAAAACCAAUCAGGAAAUGUCGUGAAAUGAAUAUUGUUAAAGGAGAGCCAUUUUAUAGAUACUCCGUUAGUUAAGCACAAGGUAUAUGCAAAAAAGGAAAAACACUGAUGACAGUUAAUCCUUCUGAAAUAAACAUAGGUUGUCCAAACUUAAAACCAGAAAAAAUUAAAAAUGUUGACGAACUUCUCAUCGGACACUUCGGCGCAAACUGGAAGGAAGAAGCAGAUAUUUUAGGACUUCGGUACUAUAAAGAUGUUUUGAACAGAGUUGGGAACUUGCAGAAUAAGAAGAAAUAGUCCAGGAAGAAGAAGACCUGUGUGAGCCUCAAAAGACGACAAUAUAUUUGUGUAAUACAUUUUAAGAAAACAUUCCAACUAAUAUUAUUAUUUGAUUUUUUGGAAAAAUUUGACACGUUUUUUUGAUUAAGGAUUAUUUUUAAGUUUAUUUUUGU